rnacentral:rRNA from 1 species
AGUAAACCNGGGAAAGCCUAAACUUAUAUUGGAUUAUGGAAUGCAAGAUCGUUUCAGUUUUUACGAUGUGGAUGAUUUUGUGUUUAAUGAUUUUAAUUAUGUGUAUCAUUUCAAUUAUUAUUUAGAGGAUUUAUGUUCAUAAUGAACAUUAUUUUAAUGUAUAUACUUAAGAUUUAAGUAACGUGAUAAGACGGUUUCAUUAUCAUAAUAAGUUUUAGAUUUAUAUCAUAUAAUUUAUAAACCAGGAAAGCAUGAUUUUAUAAAAUUAAUUUAUUUCUAUCUUUGGCUGGACCGAAUGCGGCCAGACUUGAGUCUAGUACAUUUUUAAAUUACCAGCUUGUCUGGUUUUAGAACUCGGAGAUGUGGGUUCGAUUAAAAAUUAGGUUGUAGCUCCAGCGUUUGAAAAAAUAGCUAUACUUGAGAGGUUUUUUUAAUGCGACAAUAGGGAUUCCAUUGAAUUAGAAUAUUAGUUAUUAUAACCUAGUAUAUAAGUAUUUAGUUACAUUAUUUAUUUUUCUUAAAAUAAUUAGAAAUAUAAUGGGGUUAUUUUAAAUUAAUUAUUAAAUUUGAUUUUAUUAGGUUUUAAUAAUUUUAUAAUUAAUUCAUUUCUAGAUAUCCCAGAAGAGCAGAAAAUGAUUUUAAAUUCGGAAAACUGAAUUUUCAAUUUAAGAUAGUAUUAAAUUUAUUUCUGUCUAUAAUAGAGCAGGUUGGGAAGUAUGUUCGAGAGUUAAUUUUUUGAUUAUUAAUACGAUGGAAACGUGUCAGUUUUAUGACGCCGGUAAAUUUAGGAGUAACCCGUCCAAUCUGGA